rnacentral:rRNA from 1 species
GAGUGGCGGACGGGUGAGUAAUGCUUGGGAACUUGCCUUUGCGAGGGGGAUAACAGUUGGAAACGACUGCUAAUACCGCAUAAUGUCUUCGGACCAAACGGGGCUUCGGCUCCGGCGCAAAGAGAGGCCCAAGUGAGAUUAGCUAGUUGGUAAGGUAACGGCUUACCAAGGCGACGAUCUCUAGCUGUUCUGAGAGGAAGAUCAGCCACACUGGGACUGAGACACGGCCCAGACUCCUACGGGAGGCAGCAGUGGGGAAUAUUGCACAAUGGGGGAAACCCUGAUGCAGCCAUGCCGCGUGUGUGAAGAAGGCCUUCGGGUUGUAAAGCACUUUCAGUUGUGAGGAAAAGUUAGUAGUUAAUACCUGCUAGCCGUGACGUUAACAACAGAAGAAGCACCGGCUAACUCCGUGCCAGCAGCCGCGGUAAUACGGAGGGUGCGAGCGUUAAUCGGAAUUACUGGGCGUAAAGCGCACGCAGGCGGUUUGUUAAGCUAGAUGUGAAAGCCCCGGGCUCAACCUGGGAUGGUCAUUUAGAACUGGCAGACUAGAGUCUUGGAGAGGGGAGUGGAAUUCCAUGUGUAGCGGUGAAAUGCGUAGAUAUCGGAGGAACAUCAGUGGCGAAGGCGACUCCCUGGCCAAAGACUGACGCUCAUGUGCGAAAGUGUGGGUAGCGAACAGGAUUAGAUACCCUGGUAGUCCACACCGUAAACGCUGUCUACUAGCUGUGUGUGUCUUUUAAAGCGUGCGUAGCGAAGCUAACGCGCUAAGUAGACCGCCUGGGGGAGUACGGCCGCAAGGUUAAAACUC